CUGAAAAGCAUCAGCCUUCAGAUUACAUUUAGCUGAAUUGUAGAGCUUUGUAAUCUGGGUAAAUGUAUUUAAGACCACAGCAUAGUGUGCAGCAUUCUUUUAUAGGCCAGGUUAUUCAAGGAUCCAAGACACAUUUGUUGUUCAUUCAUUUGCUGUUUGGAAUUCUGAUUCAUUUCAGGAGGAUAAUUGGCUUGAAAGAAGAAAGAAGAACCUUGAAAGAAGGGAGACGAAUCUGAAAACCUGAUCAUUUUAGAGUCAUUGCAAUUUAAAAUCGAGCAACAUGGCAUUGGCAGGAAAAGCAGCAGCAGGAGAAGAACCGAGGGCAACUCUACUAUCACCACUAACAUUAACAUUGACAGUUGUAACAGUUGUAGUCGUAGUAGUAGGUUAUGCAUUUAUGUUAGCAGUAGCUGAAGUAGUAGUAGGAGCAGCAGCAGGAGCAGCAGCUGGAGUAUGCAUUUUACAAUUACUGUGGGAAGAAGAAGAAAGAAAAGGACCAGUAGCAGUAGUAGUAACAGCAGUAGCAGGAGGCGUAGCAGGAGCAGCAGCAGCAAAGUUGCGAUCAAUGGUAGGAGCAUACUCGCUAACAGGAUCAGCAAUAGUUGGAGCAAUAGCAGGAGCGGCAAUAGUAGCAAUAGCAAGAAAACUGUUACAAUAUGUUAUAAAUAAAAUACAGUGGUUAAAAGAUAACCUGAAGCCAUUGGUAGUACGCCUAAGAACCCAAGUGGAAAAAUAUAUAAAAAAGGUGGUAACAGAUAUAAUAAAGCGGGUACUAGCCAAUGAAGCCGCCAAAACAAUAUUGAACAAAUUUGCAUCAGUGAGAGGAUCAGGAUUAACAGCAGCAGCAGCAGCAACAGCAUUAGGAUUAGCAGCAUCAGUAGCAGGAUUAGGGUUAUUUGGAGGAUUACUGGUACUCGCGUUAGUACUUGCAGUAGGAACAGCAAUUUUUGGAUCAGAAGGACAAUCACAAGGACAAUCACAAGGACAGUCACAAUCAACAGAUGUGGUGUUUCCAAUUGCUCUUUUUUUGCUUUUUGUUUUAAUUUGUUUUCUUGUUUCCUCAGGUGUGUUGCGAUUUUGCUGUUUGUUGUUUCUCUCUCUUUUCCUAUGGUUUCUGCUGCGCUACCGCUCUGACAGGAACUGAUCAUAUUCACCAAGAAGGCCAGCAUAAAAGCCAGCUGAUGCCUCA